AUGAGGUUUACCUUUGUGGUUGCGGGUUGGCCGGGCUGUGCACAUGAUACAAGGGUCUUGAAUCACGCAUUAGCACACUUCCCUUCAUUUCCUAUACCACCCAAAGGGAAAUACUAUCUUGUGGACUCUGGGUAUCCAAACCGAACAGGAUACCUUGCUCCUUUUAAGGGGAGUACAUACCAUCUGCCGAAAUUUCGUCUUCGCCGUCACCGUCCACCUGAAGGGAAGUAUGAGUUGUUCAACUUUUCACAUUCAUCCCUUCGAAAUGUCGUUGAGCGUGCUUUUGGGGUACUCAAGCAGAAAUGGCGCAUCUUGAAAGGUGUCCCAAGUUUCUCACCUCGUACACAGAAGCAUAUCAUCAUUGCUUGC
rnacentral:rRNA from 1 species